rnacentral:rRNA from 1 species
CGAACGCUGGCGGCGUGCUUAACACAUGCAAGUCGAGCGCGAAAGUUACUCUUCGGAGUAGCGAGUAGAGCGUCAGACGGGUGAGUAACACGUGAAUAAUCUACCCCUUGGCGGGGAAUAACCACUCGAAAGGGUGGCUAAUACCGCAUAAGACCAUAAGCUUGCGGGUUUAUGGUGAAAGGCUUUCGGGCCACCGAGGGAGGAGUUCGCGGACGAUUAGCUAGUUGGUGGGGUAAUGGCCCACCAAGGCGACGAUCGUUAGCUGGUCUUAGAGGAUGAGCAGCCACACUGGUACUUAGAUACGGACCAGACUCCUACGGGAGGCAGCAGUGGGGAAUAUUGCGCAAUGGACGAAAGUCUGACGCAGCAACGCCGCGUGGGUGAAGAAGGCCUUAGGGUCGUAAAGCUCUGUCAGGUGGGAAGAACCUUGCCUUUAUGGCAACUGACGGUACCACCAAAGGAAGCACCGGCUAACUCC